UAGAAUCCACACUCUUGGCUUGGGGGCGC
rnacentral:piRNA from 1 species